rnacentral:rRNA from 1 species
CUACGUGCCAGCAGCCGCGGUAAUACGUAGGGCGCGAGCGUUGUCCGGAAUUAUUGGGCGUAAAGAGCUUGUAGGCGGUUUGUCGCGUCUGCUGUGAAAGGCCGGAGCUUAACUCCGUGUAUUGCAGUGGGUACGGGCAGACUAGAGUGCAGUAGGGGAGACUGGAAUUCCUGGUGUAGCGGUGGAAUGCGCAGAUAUCAGGAGGAACACCGAUGGCGAAGGCAGGCCUCUGGGCUGUAACUGACGCUGAGAAGCGAAAGCAUGGGGAGCGAACAGGAUUAGAUACCCUGGUAGUCCAUGCCGUAAACGUUGGGCACUAGGUGUGGGGGACAUUCCACGUUUUCCGCGCCGUAGCUAACGCAUUAAGUGCCCCGCCUGGGGAGUACGGCCGCAAGGCUAAAACUCAAAGAAAUUGACGGGGGCCCGCACAAGCGGCGGAGCAUGCGGAUUAAUUCGAUGCAACGCGAAGAACCUUACCAAGGCUU